rnacentral:rRNA from 1 species
ACGUAGGUGGCGAGCGUUAUCCGGAAUUACUGGGCGUAAAGCGCACGCAGGCGGUCUUUUGGGUCUGACGUGAAAGCUCCUGGCUUAACUGGGAGAGGUCGUUGGAAACUGGGAGACUUGAGGCAAUGAGAGGGGUGUGGAAUUCCCGGUGUAGUGGUGGAAUGCGUAGAGAUCGGGAGGAACACCAGUGGCGAAAGCGAUUUUCUGGAUCGUUUCUGACGCUCAGACGCGAAAGCUAGGGUAGCAAACGG